UGUCCAGGGCGUACACACGUGCUACAAUGGUCGGGUACAAAGGGCAGCGAGCUCGCGAGUGCAAGCUAAUACCCAUAAAGCCGGACCUCAGUUCGGAUUGGAGUCUGCAACUCGACUCCAUGAAGUCGGAAUCGCUAGUAAUCGCGGAUCAGCAUGCCGCGGUCGAAUACGUUCCCGGGCCUU
rnacentral:rRNA from 1 species